rnacentral:rRNA from 1 species
UACGUAGGGUGCGAGCGUUGUCCGGAAUUAUUGGGCGUAAAGCGCGUGUAGGCGGCUUUGCAAGUCGGGCGUGAAAUCCCAUGGCUCAACCAUGGAAGUGCACUCGAAACUGCAGAGCUAGAGUCCUGGAGAGGAAGGUGGAAUGCUUGGUGUAGAGGUGAAAUUCGUAGAUAUCAAGCGGAACACCGGUGGCGAAGGCGGCCUUCUGGACAGUGACUGACGCUGAGACGCGAAAGCGUGGGGAGCAAACAGG